rnacentral:piRNA from 1 species
AGGCUGAGGCUGGACUGAGAGGGUUACGA